rnacentral:lncRNA from 1 species
CCCAAGUCAAGCUUGAUUACAAAUCCAAGGCAAGUGAGCAACCACAAGGAGGUAACUAUGUUAAACCUAACUUUCCUCGACCUUCUACAAUUCAAUGCUUUAGAUGUCAAGGGAGGGGACAUGUUGCUAGUGAGUGUCCAAAUAGGAGAACAAUUGUUGCUCUUCGUGAUGGAUAUAAGACUGAAGAUGAAGAUGAGGGUGAAGAAAAAAAUGAGGGAGAGGGAGACAGGGG